rnacentral:rRNA from 1 species
GGUCAAGUGAAGAAGCGCAUACGGUGGAUGCCUUGGCAGUCAGAGGCGAUGAAAGACGUGGUAGCCUGCGAAAAGCUUCGGGGAGUCGGCAAACAGACUUUGAUCCGGAGAUCUCUGAAUGGGGGAACCCACCUAGGAUAACCUAGGUAUCUUGUACUGAAUCCAUAGGUGCAAGAGGCGAACCAGGGGAACUGAAACAUCUAAGUACCCUGAGGAAAAGAAAUCAACCGAGAUUCCCUUAGUAGUGGCGAGCGAACGGGGAUUAGCCCUUAAGCUUCAUUGAUUUUAGCGGAACGCUCUGGAAAGUGCGGCCAUAGUGGGUGAUAGCCCCGUACGCGAAAGGAUCUUUGAAGUGAAAUCGAGUAGGACGGAGCACGAGAAACUUUGUCUGAACAUGGGGGGACCAUCCUCCAAGGCUAAAUACUACUGACUGACCGAUAGUGAACCAGUACCGUGAGGGAAAGGCGAAAAGAACCCCGGAGAGGGGAGUGAAAUAGAACCUGAAACCGUAUGCGUACAAGCAGUGGGAGCCUACUUGUUAGGUGACUGCGUACCUUUUGUAUAAUGGGUCAGCGACUUAUAUUCAGUGGCAAGCUUAACCGUAUAGGGUAGGCGUAGCGAAAGCGAGUCUUAAUAGGGCGUUUAGUCGCUGGGUAUAGACCCGAAACCGGGCGAUCUAUCCAUGAGCAGGUUGAAGGUUAGGUAACACUGACUGGAGGACCGAACCCACUCCCGUUGAAAAGGUAGGGGAUGACUUGUGGAUCGGAGUGAAAGGCUAAUCAAGCUCGGAGAUAGCUGGUUCUCCUCGAAAGCUAUUUAGGUAGCGCCUCAUGUAUCACUCUGGGGGGUAGAGCACUGUUUCGGCUAG